rnacentral:tRNA from 1 species
UAGCUCAGUUGGUAGAGCAUGGUGUUUGCAACGCCAGGGUUGUGGGUUCGAUCCCCAC